UACGUAGGGGGCUAGCGUUGUCCGGAUUUAUUGGGCGUAAAGAGCUCGUAGGCGGUUCGUCGCGUCGGCUGUGAAAACCCGGAGCUCAACUCCGGGCCUGCAGUCGAUACGGGCGGACUUGAGUGUUGCAGGGGAGACUGGAAUUCCUGGUGUAGCGGUGAAAUGCGCAGAUAUCAGGAGGAACACCGGUGGCGAAGGCGGGUCUCUGGGCAACUACUGACGCUGAGGAGCGAAAGCGUGGGGAGCGAACAGG
rnacentral:rRNA from 1 species